AUUUAUAUAAUAUAAAAGAUUAUAUUUAACUUCCAAUUAAAAAAUCUAGUCAAUCUAGUAUAAAUA
rnacentral:tRNA from 1 species